ACACAGCGCGUGCAGGGGUUCUCGCAGCAGAGUUGAGCUGAAUGCCUAGUGUUGCUCACCCAGCUUUAAACAACUGGAUCAACCAUGUUUGGGAGGAAUUUACUUGCGUUUUGUCUCCUCCUGUGUGCUACCAGCUGCUCAGCUGACGAUGCUGCAACAUCUAAGUCAAGAACUCUUCAGCCCUGGUUGGUUGGUCUGUCAGCUGUCGUUGGCUUCCUGCUGAUUGUAUUUACUAUCCUGAUCCUAAAUAAACUACUAAAUAAAAAAAGGAAGACAGAAGACCAAUGGGACUAUGAGAAGUCUACAGAGAUCCUUCAUCCGGAUGUAAACGUAACCAAUAUGUAGAAACCCAUCCGCUUAAGAAACAAAGCUACUCCACCCACACUUCAUCCGUGACACAUCUUUUCUCAACAACGAACAAUGGCUGCAUUUAAUUUACACUAUUAUCCUAUGGAAUGAGGACCUUUGUUAAAGUCAUCUUUUCUAUAAGUUUUGCAAUUCUGCUAAAACAGCAGGACUUUGUCAUUUUACAAUGAGGUAAUUUAAUUGCAGAUGUUCCUCUUAAAGAUCACAGUUAUGCAAAUGUGAAUGAAAACGAGAAGUCACCAAGAAUGUAAAUAAAGACAAGAAAUAUGAGUACAUUGUGCAUGUAGAGAUGGUGUUAAAUAAUGACAAAUUUAAGUAACUUGUGGCUGUUUAUUAUAAUUUUAUUUUAAAGACGUUUUGGCAUUUGGAGAUCGUUUCAUUUUAAAAAUGACAAGCUGAAAGUUUUAAGUCACCACUGAAUUCUUAAUGUAACAUCAAAAGUUGGGCUCAAAAUGAUCUAUACACCUGGUAGAUUUAGAUCUAUAGUAUUCUUUUAAUAAUAUGCAUCUUCUGACUGAAAGUAAUAAUAAUGUUUGGGUGUGUUCCAGCCAGUCAUACAAUGAGGACUUCCAUUCUCCAAGACUUGGAGCUUAUCAUAAAGUUCAAUUGUUAGAAAGAUACAAGUGGAAACAUGCAAAAAGUUUGUCAGCAGUGAGAAAUGUUUGUUUGUUGUAAUGCAAAUCAACCCUUGAGAUGGAUAUAAAUAAUUUUCGUCAUAUAAUUUUUGUUAAAAUGUCAGUAAAAACAGAUUAUUUUAAAUGAUA